GCAAGGGUACUGGAGAGACAAUUGACGAUAAGGAUCGUUGUCCUCAAUGCAAAGGUAAAAAAGUGGUACCAGAGAAGAAAGUCAUUGAAGUCCAUGUUGAAAAAGGAAUGCAAAAUGGACAGAAAAUUACAUUCCCUGGCGAGGCUGAUGAAGCGCCUGAUACAGUUACUGGAGAUGUGGUUUUCGUUCUCCAACAGAAAGAUCACCCGAAGUUCAAGAGGAAGGGUGACGACCUGUUUGUUGAUCACACAUUGACCUUAACUGAGGCACUGUGUGGUUUCCAGUUCAUAUUGGGACACUUGGAUGGCAGACGGCUCCUCAUAAAGUCAAAUCCUGGAGAAGUUGUUAAACCUGAUCAAUUCAAGGCGAUCAAUGACGAAGGAAUGCCAGUUUACCAGAGGCCAUUCAUGAAGGGU
rnacentral:misc_RNA from 1 species